GUGCUUGCUUCAGCAGCAUAAAUACUAACUUUGGAACAAUACAGAGAAGAUGAGCAUGGCCCCUGCGCCUGGAUCAUACGCAAAUUCGUAAAUUUAAAAUAUGGAA
ensembl:snRNA U6 U6 spliceosomal RNA